GUGCCUGCACAGCGCCAGGGGCCAGGCUGCAGCACCAGAGCACGUGCUCGCCCAUAACUGGGGCUGGUUGCUCUCCAUAGCGGCUCUUUUCAGUGCAAGAGACAUGG